UACAGAGGGGGGCAAGCGUUAUUCGGAAUUAUUGGGCGUAAAGGGCGCGUAGGCGGUCUUUUUAAGUUCCGUGUGAAAUCCCUCGGCUCAACUGGGGAACGGCACGGGAAACUGGAAGGCUUGAGUUCGGGAGAGGGAAGCGGAAUUCCGGGUGUAGCGGUGAAAUGCGUAGAUAUCCGGAGGAACACCGGUGGCGAAGGCGGCUUCCUGGACCGACACUGACGCUGAGGCGCGAAAGCUAGGGGAGCAAACGGG
rnacentral:rRNA from 1 species